GUUUUAUGACUUUUCUCUGUGUUUGUUAUGCGUGUCUCUGACAGACGUUGUGUCUCUGUGUCUCUGUCUCUGCAGAUCAAACCCUCCCAGCACAGCUGUGAACCUGCAGACACACCUGUCCGACCGUAUAUGGACUUCCCUCUGUAGGCUGUUACAUGAUCACGUGUGUUUACAUCUCGCAGCGUUACAUAACUUCGUCCUUUUCCUUCUGUGCUGGGAAACGACACUGUGCAAUCUCUCUGCCCGUCUCCCUCAGGUGUGUUUCUCCAGAUG